CCGGCCCAGAAGCACCUAUCUUGUGUUUUGUUUUUUUUUUUUUAACCACUUUUCUGGAAAAAUUCAAAACUACCUGAUAUUGCCAUUUCCCCAGAUUCAAACAUGGUCUUUUCUGGUGGUGACAGAGUGAUACUCUGAUAACUACCAUCUGGGUUUGCUAGUUAGAAAUGAAGAUGCUCAUGUCAUGACUUCUCAGUUCAGUUUUACCUGCAUGGAAUCCUAAGAAAAAUCAAUACCCUAUCUUAAACAGAAAGACUGAAUUAUUUUCUUAAUCUCCUAAGAAAAUAAAUUGUGUCUACAAUAAGAGCUAAAGAACUGACUGGGCUGUUUUGUUUAUUUAAAGAGAAAACUGAAGCUCUGAAUCAUGUAAUUUUUAACUUAAAAAAAACCUAACAUGCUACUAUAUGUUCCAUAAACAAAGAAAGCAAAGUGGCAAAGUGACCAAGUAAGUAGAGGUGUGCAGGACAAGACUACCUCAGCCUGGGCCAAGGGGAGAUUCAAGUAAUUUAUUUUUUGCAGCCCAGUGGCAGAGUCUCUUACUCAGGUUGCUAAAGGGAGAAUGUCACAACAGAACUGACAUCACUCCCUUCUUCAAAGCAACAAGGCAUCUUGAAAACUCAACUUCCUGGUGAAGUUCUGUGGUUGGUGGCAGGCCUUAGUUCAUCUACGUGAAAAGAUAGCUGAGUCGAGAUGAAAA